rnacentral:rRNA from 1 species
ACGAACGCUGGCGGCGUGCUUAACACAUGCAAGUCGAGCGGUAAGGCCCUUUCGGGGGUACGACGAGCGGCGAACGGGUGAGUAACACGUGGGUGACCUGCCCUCAGCUCUGGGAUAAGCCUGGGAAACCGGGUCUAAUACUGGAUAUGACUCCAUGACGCAUGUUGUGGGGUGGAAAGCCUUGUGCGGCUGAGGAUGGGCCCGCGGCCUAUCAGCUUGUUGGUGGGGUGAUGGCCUACCAAGGCGACGACGGGUAGCCGGCCUGAGAGGGCGACCGGCCACACUGGGACUCGAGACACGGCCCAGACUCCUACGGGAGGCAGCAGUGGGGAAUCUUGCGCAAUGGGCGAAAGCCUGACGCAGCGACGCCGCGUGAGGGAUGACGGCCUGG